AGAGUUUGAUCCUGGCUCAGGACGAACGCUGGCGGCGUGCCUAACACAUGCAAGUCGAACGGUCUAAUGCUUAACACUGAGUGUUCAGUCAAGUUGGGACAGCGAGAGCGCGAAGAAUGAGCGCUCCACGCAUUAAAUAAGUGCCAACACAAGUAGGGAAGCUGAAUGUUGAGUGUUAAGUAUUAGAUAGUGGCGGACGGGUGAGUAACGCGUGGGUAACCUACCCAUAAAGCCGGGACAACCCUUGGAAACGAGGGCUAAUACCGGAUAAUCUUAAGGCUUGGCAUCAAGUUUUAAGGAAAGGUGGCCUCUUUACAAUGCUACCGAUUAUGGAUGGACCCGCGUCUGAUUAGCUAGUUGGUGGGGUAAAGGCCUACCAAGGCGACGAUCAGUAGCCGGCCUGAGAGGGUGAACGGCCACACUGGGACUGAGACACGGCCCAGACUCCUACGGGAGGCAGCAGUGGGGAAUCUUCCGCAAUGGACGAAAGUCUGACGGAGCAACGCCGCGUGUAUGAUGAAGGUCUUCGGAUUGUAAAGUACUGUCUUUGGGGAAGAAUGGUAGGUUUGAAAAUAUUGAGCCUACAUGACGGUACCCAAGGAGGAAGCCCCGGCUAACUACGUGCCAGCAGCCGCGGUAAUACGUAGGGGGCAAGCGUUGUCCGGAAUUAUUGGGCGUAAAGGGCGCGUAGGCGGAUGUUUAAGUCCGGUGUGAAAGAUCAGGGCUCAACCCUGAGAGUGCAUCGGAAACUGGGCAUCUUGAGGACAGGAGAGGAAAGUGGAAUUCCUAGUGUAGCGGUGAAAUGCGUAGAUAUUAGGAGGAACACCAGUGGCGAAGGCGACUUUCUGGACUGUAACUGACGCUGAGGCGCGAAAGCGUGGGGAGCAAACAGGAUUAGAUACCCUGGUAGUCC
rnacentral:rRNA from 1 species